rnacentral:rRNA from 1 species
UGGGGAAUAUUGCACAAUGGAGGGAACUCUGAUGCAGCAACGCCGCGUGCGGGAUGACGGCCUUCGGGUUGUAAACCGCUUUCAGCCAUGACGAAGCCUUUGCGACGGUAGUGGUAGAAGAAGCACCGGCUAACUACGUGCCAGCAGCCGCGGUGAUACGUAGGGUGCGAGCGUUGUCCGGAAUUAUUGGGCGUAAAGAGCUUGUAGGCGGUUUGUCGGGUCGAUAGUGUAAACACGCAGCUUAACUGUGUGCCUGCUGUCGAUACGGGCUGACUAGAGGAGGGUAGGGGAGAAUGGAAUUCCCGGUGGAGCGGUGGAAUGCGCAGAUAUCGGGAGGAACACCAGUGGCGAAGGCGGUUCUCUGGACCUUUCCUGACGCUGAGAAGCGAAAGCGUGGGUAGCAAACAGG